rnacentral:ncRNA from 2 species
AAUCGGAAGUUCCCGUCGGGCGCCCAGGAUGGGCGUCAAGGGAAGAUGGUGAAAAUCCAUCGCUGCCCCGCAACUGUAACCGGCGACGAAAUCCGCGAAUAGGCCACCGGGGAUGGACCCCCAGGGAAGGCGCGGAGAGUAGGCUCGAACCGGAAGCCAGGAGACCGGCCCGACAGGGAUUUUCCCG